CUGACUUAAGCAUGACCCUCACCACCCCCAAGCCCCAUCUCUUGCAUGACGAUCGGAGAACGGUGGAGUUGUUUGGACAGCGAAACACGACAUCAACACCCAGUGUCAACAAAAUCAUGAGCUUUUAGAUAGUUAUCUCUGUAUAUUUUGUGAAACGUAAAUCUUUUUUCCCUUUCCUAUAUUUUUAUUGUCGGGUGCAGUGAUUAGCUUUGCUCGAACCGAAAUGUUUUUUCCUGAUCCGGGAAAGCGGGUCCAAAUUGUGUUGUAAAUGGGAAAAAAUGCGUUUCUUUCAGUUUUUUUCUUCCUUCUGAUCGUUGUCGAUGCUUCCUUGCUCUCGAGUUUCAGAAAGCUGGUGGGUGCCGCGCCUAAAGAUGCUAACGCCACAACCAUUCGAAGUUCUCCGUCGCCGGGUCCUUUUCCUAGUGACAAGAAAUCGGGUACUAGCCAACCGAUGGGUCAGAGAAUAAAGGACCGGAGCCUCUGGUACUUGACAAGUCAACCCAGGUGGAUCCCAAAGGUCGUCCCAAGGAUUUGAGUAGUAGCAAUAAUACUAGUAGUGACAAUAACACGGGGAAGAACAGUGGAACAGAUUAAAACAGGAAAGAUGAGGAGAAGACCGAUCCUUUGCAAAUAGAGAGCAAUGAGAAUUGUGAUGGGUCGGUCGCUUAGAGAUGCAACCGAGAGGCUAUGACGGCCUGCAUCCAAAGCAUUCCAGAUCACUCUAACUAAUGGCAAAAGCUCCAAACUCUUAUUAAAUGCUGGAAAUGGUGACUGCGAGCUUGACGUGCGCCCUCUUGUAGGCAAACGUUUACAUGCGUUUUCCUUCUUUUGAUAAACUGUUGACACCAGUAAAUGCUGCAUACUUGUUGAUUCUUACUGUGCUAGAUUUUGGAGGGACGUGGGCUUGCUUUAAACUUAGGAAGAGGAGACACCAUGGUGGAGUCCCAUAUCAAGAGCUUGAAAUGGGUUUACCAGAGAGUCUGUUUCAACUAUCAAUGUGGAAACAGCAGAAGGUUGGGAUCAGGGUUGGGACGAUGACUGGGAUGAAGAUAAUGCGGUGAGGUCACCAGAAGAACGUCAUGCAGGAAGCAUUUCUGCGAAUGGCCUAACUUCUAGAUCUUCAAAUAGAGAUGGAUGGGAAGAUGACUGGAACGAUUAGUUAGUUGACGGACAGAAGAAUUUUUUUGGCUAAAGGUAGGCAAGAUAGCAGAGGAUGAACAAGAUAUUAAAAAACUCAGAUGUACAACAAAUAUAAAACUUUAUUUACCUUGUCAUGUCAUACUUGGAACCCAAAAUGAAGGCUGUAAAACGGAAAUGAAAUACGUUCCUGCUUUUCUUA